UUUGACUGCAACUGUAUAUAUAUAUAUAUAUAGCUGGAAACAGUGCUGGUGAGUUUCAACUGCAUUUGGCUAUGUGUGUGUGUGUGUGUGUGUGUAUGUGUAUGUGUGUUUAGGGGAUGGAAAGAAAUCAGCAUAAGAGCCCAGCAUGUUGUUGUAGACUAUUUUUCCCUAACAAUAUUUAAUUGUUUUUACACAGAUGUUGAGUCUCUCAUCCGCUUAUGUGUUACACUGCCAAUAAUACUGGGUGUUCCGAUAACUGUUAUCGUGGUAUAUUUACGGAAAAAGUUUAAAACUUCACCAAGAUCUCAGGCCAUGGAACUGCAAAUAAUGCAACAGUGAACAAUGAAACUCCUGAUAUGAACUUUGAGGCAUGAGAGCAGCACAGGUGUCCACAAACUUUUGGCCAUAUAGUGCAUUUAUCUUUAUUCAUGUCCAAGGUUCUUUUGGUGUAACACAUGGAAAAGUG